rnacentral:rRNA from 1 species
GACGAACGCUGGCGGCGUGCUUAACACAUGCAAGUCGAACGGAAAGGCCCUGCUUUUGUGGGGUGCUCGAGUGGCGAACGGGUGAGUAACACGUGAGUAACCUGCCCUUGACUUUGGGAUAACUUCAGGAAACUGGGGCUAAUACCGGAUAGGAGCUCCUGCUGCAUGGUGGGGGUUGGAAAGUUUCGGCGGUUGGGGAUGGACUCGCGGCUUAUCAGCUUGUUGGUGGGGUAGUGGCUUACCAAGGCUUUGACGGGUAGCCGGCCUGAGAGGGUGACCGGCCACAUUGGGACUGAGAUACGGCCCAGACUCAUACGGGAGGCAGCAGUGGGGAAUAUUGCGCAAUGGGCGGAAGCCUGAUGCAGCAACGCCGCGUGCGGGAUGAAGGCCUUAGGGUUGUAAACCGAUUUCGCCUGUGACGAAGCGUGAGUGACGGUAAUGGGUAAAGAAGCACCGGCUAACUACGUG